UCCUGGCUCAGAUUGAACGCUGGCGGCAUGCUUUACACAUGCAAGUCGAACGGCAGCACGGGUGCUUGCACCUGGUGGCGAGUGGCGGACGGGUGAGUAAUGCAUCGGAACGUGUCCUAAAGUGGGGGAUAACGCAUCGAAAGAUGUGCUAAUACCGCAUAUUCUCUGAGGAGGAAAGUAGGGGAUCGAAAGACCUUAUGCUUUUGGAGCGGCCGAUGUCUGAUUAGCUAGUUGGUAGGGUAAUGGCUUACCAAGGCGACGAUCAGUAGUUGGUCUGAGAGGACGACCAGCCACACUGGGACUGAGACACGGCCCAGACUCCUACGGGAGGCAGCAGUGGGGAAUUUUGGACAAUGGGCGCAAGCCUGAUCCAGCAAUGCCGCGUGAGUGAAGAAGGCCUCGG
rnacentral:rRNA from 1 species